rnacentral:tRNA from 1 species
UUGGGGAUAUAGCUCAGUGGUAGAGUGCUUGCCUACCAUGUAAGAGACCCUAGGUUCAAUCCCUAGCACUAAA